UCAGGAUGAACGCUAGCUACAGGCUAACACAUGCAAGUCGAGGGGUAGCAGGGUAGCAAUACCGCUGACGACCGGCGCACGGGUGAGUAACACGUAUCCAACCUUCCCAUAACUCAGGGAUAGCCUUUCGAAAGAAAGAUUAGUACCUGAUAGUACUUUUUCAAGGCAUCUUGAGAAAGUUAAAGAUUUAUUGGUUAUGGAUGGGGAUGCGUUCCAUUAGGUAGUUGGUGAGGUAACGGCUCACCAAGUCUUCGAUGGAUAGGGGUUCUGAGAGGAAGGUCCCCCACAUUGGUACUGAGACACGGACCAAACUCCUACGGGAGGCAGCAGUGAGGAAUAUUGGUCAAUGGGCGAGAGCCUGAACCAGCCAAGUAGCGUGAAGGAUGAAGGUCCUAUGGAUUAUAAACUUCUUUUAUAGUAGAAUAAAGUGAUCCACGUGUGGAUUUUUGUAUGUAUACUAUGAAUAAGGAUCGGCUAACUCCGUGCCAGCCGCAGC
rnacentral:rRNA from 1 species